rnacentral:tRNA from 1 species
GCCGCUAUAGCUCAGUGGUAGAGCACUGGUCUCGUAAACCAGGGGUUGUGAGUUCAAGCCUCACUGGCGGCA